GUGGGGUGCCAGCAUUGCAGAAGCACCGCAAAAAAAAGGCCUCUUUUUGGAAUGUCAAAUGAGGUCAAAGUCUGUCCUGAGUCCCAGGCUCCGAGCAGAGGAUAGGAUAGGAUAGCACAUCCUAUCCGCUGGGCUCCUGAAGGGCUUAGAGCAGAGAGAGGACUGGGAAGAUGCUGGGCCUGAUGCCACACCAACCCUGUUCCUGCGGGCCCAGCUUCUGCCAUGAGGUACCUGCUGGUUCCCCGACAUGGGAGACGACCUUCCCUCCCCGCUGGGGGGAGACACAUUUGGGGCAUCAGUGGCAGCCACUACAGAGCAGUUGGCCUUGCCCUGUCUCUUGAGAUUUCUCCCCACUUUCUUUUCUGUCCACCCCUGUAACCUGAGCAUUAUUCAUGUCUGAAAUACCCCAGCGAGUCACAACAGCCCUGCCCGCCUCCCGAGACUCCACACCACCUCUUUUAGAAGGUAAUCUUCCUCCUUACCUUCACCAUUUCACCCCCCACCGGACCCUUUCCUACGCCCCUGCUUCCCUGGAGACGGCAGAGACAUGACUGGUGUUUGGGCCUGGAGGUGCGCACCGGGACUUCACCCACGGACACCGUCUUCCCAGCAGCCUCUGGGGUCCUGGGCUGCCCCGCCGAUCUGUCAGCCGGGUGCAGUCAAGACCUCCCCCAGAAUGUGGAGAUCUGUUCACGUUGACACUUCAGCCUGGCCUGGACAACACUUGCAUUUUGGAGAAAGUAAAUGAUGGUGAUUAAGAGCCUUUCCAAAACUGACCUGCAGGGCCCAAAAGGCUCAGGCCACAGACCGGGCCUGCCCAUUUCCAAGGCAGAAGGAGCCACACUCUUCCGGGGACUGCCACUUGGUGGACAGUCCCAAGGAUCCAGACUCUUUGGUGGAGAUGACCUUGUGUGAUGUCUGUUGCACUCACUGGGGCCCACCCAUGCCCCUUCAGCCUGGGCCAGUCCUGCUGCUCAAUGGCUCCCUGGUCACCUGGUCACUGGAGAGAUGACGAUGUGGUCAUGAAACAGAGGGCCAGCAAGAGAUUCAGAGAUGGAACACUGUGGCCUCUGGAGACGGAAGACAGGGCCCUGAGCCGAGGGAGGCAGGUGGCCUCUGGAAGCCAGCAAAGGCGAGGACACGGAUUCUGCCCUGGAGCUUGCCGAAGGAGCCAGGUGUGCCGACACCUUAACCGUAGCCCAGCAAAACCGACUCCGGAUUUCUGGCCUCCAGAACGCACGGAGAACACACUGGUGUUGUGCUGAGCCACUGCUUUCGGAGGGCUUUGUUAGAGCCGUCAUGGGACACGGGACCAACUGCUGAGCCGGCGACCCCGGCCGCCGGCCCGGCUGUGGCGCAUUCCUGGCGACAGCAGCGACCCCGCCGUGGGGCUGUCAUCUGGCGGGGGAUGUCAUCAAGCUGCAGGCAAGCGUGACCUAUCACAGGGGACACCCGGGGCUAAGGGACGUCGAAGGGCCCUGCUCCGUUUCGGGGGUGAGGCCGACACCCGAGCGCAAGCUGCUUCCGCAGAGGCGGGAGGGUGAGCAGAGAGAGAGCACAAGCAGGUGAGAGGGAGAAGCACGCUCCCCACUGAGCAGGACCCCGAGAUCAUGACCCGAGCCGAAGGCAGACGCUUACCCAACCGAGCCACUGGGCGCCCCACUGGAGGUUUAAAUACGUGUACAGCACUUGGAACAGCGUCCCGUGCAGAGUAAGGGCUCAGUAAAUCUGCUCUUCACACCGCCUCGUAUCAACAGCUCAUUGGGGGAGAUUUAGCUGAGUUUCUGUCACCGGCCACCAGGAGAGUCCUGACUGAUAGAUCCGUGCUCAGUGAACACACAUUGACUGACUGAGUGAGCACCGAGGGCUCUGGUACUCUCUAUAGGUUUGGGGGUGAUUUUGUGGUAAGGGCCCCCCUUCCCUGUGGGUCCAUAGGGACAGGGAAAAGCAUUCUCUCUCUUCUCCCCACCUGCAGGCCCUGGCAGCCAUGUCUCAGUUUCCUUCCAAGGGAGGACGAGGCUCCACUCAAGGCAGGGGUGCACCCCCCUCAGAAGCUGAAUCCCUGUUUUCCUCUCCCUGACUUGAACUUUCCCAACAGGGAAGCUCUCCUGCCUCACUGAGAAAGAGGAAUGGGAAAUGUACCCGAGUGUGAGAGUCCUAGGAACAGGCCAGGGGGUCAUUGCCUUUAUCAGUCCCAUUUUGCAGAUGAAGACAUUGAGGCCAGGGAGGUUCAGUUAUCUGUCCUCAAAGCCCGGGCUCACUGAACAGAACUCUGUUUUUGCCCCCAAACAUUGCUUCCUCUCCCUUAGCCAUUUUCCCUCUGGUGUCCUCAUUUUUUCUGGCUUUCUUGCCCUCUCAAAUCUACAUACUCUAAUUCAUUGUAAUUACUCAUUCCUUGCUCUUAGGUCAUAAAGAAGAAUGUUUGGCCACCUCUGAGUUUGUGUCUUUGCUCCAUGUGGUAGAAGCUGUGUGUCCUUGGGCCAAUGUCUUUACCUCUCUGGGCCUUGGUUCUUUCAACCACGGCAGUGGAGAUGGCCAAACAUGCUCUUAGGCUUUUUAUAAGAACUGAGUAAGUCAAUACAUGUAAAGUGCUUUAAACAGUAAGCCCUUCAGAAGUACUCUGGCCGCUUUUGUCAUUCAUUUCCUUCAGCAAUUAGAUUGUGUUGUAUGUCCUGGAAUGAAAUAGAGAAAGAGCCCCCAAAUAAGUAAA